rnacentral:rRNA from 1 species
UACGUAGGGGGCUAGCGUUGUCCGGAUUUAUUGGGCGUAAAGAGCGUGUAGGCGGCCAGGUAGGUCUGCUGUGAAAACUCGAGGCUCAACCUCGAGACGUCGGCGGAAACCAUCUGGCUAGAGUCCGGAAGAGGAGAGUGGAAUUCCUGGUGUAGCGGUGAAAUGCGCAGAUAUCAGGAAGAACACCGGUGGCGAAGGCGGCUCUCUGGACCACAACUGACGCUGAGGCGCGAAAGCUAGGGGAGCAAACAGG